rnacentral:rRNA from 1 species
GAUGAACGCUGGCGGCGUGCCUAAUACAUGCAAGUCGAGCGAACGGACGAGAAGCUUGCUUCUCUGAUGUUAGCGGCGGACGGGUGAGUAACACGUGGAUAACCUACCUAUAAGACUGGGAUAACUUCGGGAAACCGGAGCUAAUACCGGAUAAUAUUUUGAACCGCAUGGUUCAAAAGUGAAAGACGGUCUUGCUGUCACUUAUAGAUGGAUCCGCGCUGCAUUAGCUAGUUGGUAAGGUAACGGCUUACCAAGGCAACGAUGCAUAGCCGACCUGAGAGGGUGAUCGGCCACACUGGAACUGAGACACGGUCCAGACUCCUACGGGAGGCAGCAGUAGGGAAUCUUCCGCAAUGGGCGAAAGCCUGACGGAGCAACGCCGCGUGAGUGAUGAAGGUCUUCGGAUCGUAAAACUCUGUUAUUAGGGAAGAACAUAUGUGUAAGUAACUGUGCACAUCUUGACGGUACCUAAUCAGAAAGCCACGGCUAACUACGUGCCAGCAGCCGCGGUAAUACGUAGGUGGCAAGCGUUAUCCGGAAUUAUUGGGCGUAAAGCGCGCGUAGGCGGUUUUUUAAGUCUGAUGUGAAAGCCCACGGCUCAACCGUGGAGGGUCAUUGGAAACUGGAAAACUUGAGUGCAGAAGAGGAAAGUGGAAUUCCAUGUGUAGCGGUGAAAUGCGCAGAGAUAUGGAGGAACACCAGUGGCGAAGGCGACUUUCUGGUCUGUAACUGACGCUGAUGUGCGAAAGCGUGGGGAUCAAACAGGAUUAGAUACCCUGGUAGUCCACGCCGUAAACGAUGAGUGCUAAGUGUUAGGGGGUUUCCGCCCCUUAGUGCUGCAGCUAACGCAUUAAGCACUCCGCCUGGGGAGUACGACCGCAAGGUUGAAACUCAAAGGAAUUGACGGGGACCCGCACAAGCGGUGGAGCAUGUGGUUUAAUUCGAAGCAACGCGAAGAACCUUACCAAAUCUUGACAUCCUUUGACAACUCUAGAGAUAGAGCUUUCCCCUUCGGGGGACAAAGUGACAGGUGGUGCAUGGUUGUCGUCAGCUCGUGUCGUGAGAUGUUGGGUUAAGUCCCGCAACGAGCGCAACCCUUAAGCUUAGUUGCCAUCAUUAAGUUGGGCACUCUAAGUUGACUGCCGGUGACAAACCGGAGGAAGGUGGGGAUGACGUCAAAUCAUCAUGCCCCUUAUGAUUUGGGCUACACACGUGCUACAAUGGACAAUACAAAGGGCAGCGAAACCGCGANNGGUCCAAGCNAAAUCCCAUAAAGUUGUUCUCAGUUCGGAUUGUAGUCUGCAACUCGACUACAUGAAGCUGGAAUCGCUAGUAAUCGUAGAUCAGCAUGCUACGGUGAAUACGUUCCCGGGUCU